rnacentral:rRNA from 1 species
AGUGAAUAGAUACCCGGGUAGUCCCAGCUGUAAACGAUGCGCGUUAGGUGUAUCGGUGACCACGAGUCACCGAGGUGCCGAAAGAGAAAUCGUGAAACGUGCCGCCUGGGAAGUACGGUCGCAAGGCUGAAACUUAAAGGAAUUGGCGGGGGAGCACCACAGCGGGUGGAGCCUGCGGUUUAAUCGGACUCAACGCCGGGAAACUCACCAGAUAAGACAGCUGAAUGAUAGUCGGGCUGAAGACUCUACUUGACUAGCUGAGAGGAGGUGCAUGGCCGUCGUCAGUUCGUACUGUGAAGCAUCCUGUUAAGUCAGGCAACGAGCGAGACCCACGCCAACAGUUGCCAGCUCGUCCUCCGGGAUGGAGGGGACACUGUUGGGACCGCCUCUGCUAAAGAGGAGGAAGGAAUGGGCAACGGUAGGUCAGCAUGCCCCGAAUUAUCUGGGCUACACGCGGGCUACAAUGGGUGGGACAAUGGGUAUCGACACCGAAAGGUGAAGGCAAUCUCCUAAACCCAUCCUUAGUUCGGAUUGUGGG